rnacentral:rRNA from 1 species
CUGGCGGCAUGCCUAAUACAUGCAAGUCGAACGAGAGGAAGGAAAGCUUGCUUUUCUGAAUCUAGUGGCGAACGGGUGAGUAACACGUAGGUAACCUGCCCAUGUGCCCGGGAUAACUUCUGGAAACGGAUGCUAAACCGGAUAGGUAGCAGACAAGCAUUUGACUGCUAUUAAAGUGGCUAAGGCCAUGAACAUGGAUGGACCUGCGGUGCAUUAGCUAGUUGGUGAGGUAACGGCCCACCAAGGCGACGAUGCAUAGCCGGCCUGAGAGGGCGGACGGCCACAUUGGGACUGAGACACGGCCCAAACUCCUACGGGAGGCAGCAGUAGGGAAUUUUCGUCAAUGGGGGGAACCCUGAACGAGCAAUGCCGCGUGAGUGAGGAAGGUCUUCGGAUCGUAAAGCUCUGUUGUAAGAGAAAAACGACAUUCAUAGGGAAUGAUGAGUGAGUGAUGGUAUCUUACCAGAAAGUCACGGCUAACUACGUG